GGAUGUGAGCCCUAUCUGGCAAUGACAUCUGUCACUCCACUGAUAAUGGAUACACUGGGGUGCCAGCAUGGAUACCGCGUACACUGGAUUUGACUCAUCUCACUGGCUGGGUAGGAGUCUUCUUCCUCCCUCAUGGUUCCACGUGCAUCCUGCCCCUCUUGAAGCUGUGCUCUACAGUAGAGACAGAAUAGUUCAUUCUUCAUUGAGUGUGUGUGCCCCUGCUAGAAACUCCCAACAAACUCCAAAAUGCAAUUUAGCAGAUGGGAAGGCAUCAGUAAUUUAGACACAAAACUCUCGUCUUUGUGGAGUUUACAUUCUCCCACAG
rnacentral:snRNA from 1 species